UACGAAGGGGACUAGCGUUGUUCGGAAUUACUGGGCGUAAAGCGCACGUAGGCGGAUUUGUAAGUCAGGGGUGAAAUCCCAGGGCUCAACCUCGGAACUGCCUUUGAUACUGCAAGUCUCGAGUCCGAUAGAGGUGGGUGGAAUUCCUAGUGUAGAGGUGAAAUUCGUAGAUAUUAGGAAGAACACCGGUGGCGAAGGCGGCCCACUGGAUCGGUACUGACGCUGAGGUGCGAAAGCGUGGGGAGCAAACAGG
rnacentral:rRNA from 1 species